AUGGCAAAACCUUAUCCUCUGUCCCCACACCCGCAACCAGCACUCCCAUCCCACCGGCUCCGGCCGCCGCCCCCACUCCCGGCUCCGGCCGCUGCCCUCGCUCCCGUCUCCCCUGGCUCCGACGGCUGCCCCGCUCCCAUCUCCCCUGGCUCCGGCCAUCUCCCUGCUCCCAUCUCCCCUGGCUCAGGCCAUCGCCUCGCUCCCGUCUCCCCUGGCUCAGGCCGUCGCCUCGCUCCCGUCUCUCCCGGCUCCGGCCGCCGCCCCGCUCCCGUCUCCCCGGCUCCGGCCACCACCCCACACCCGUGUCUACUAGGUCCAGCUGCCACCUCGUCCCCAUCUGCUCCACGACCCCAUCGAUGUCCAGCCCGCCUCCCAUGCAACGCCUGCAGGCCCUCACGCAAGUCAUCCUUGCUCCUCCCGAGACCAAAGCAUGCAGCCGCCGGCAACCUGGCCGCUGCGCAUCACUGUCGGCCGCGUUCCUCCGCGCCUCCCCAAUCCACCACACGUCGCCACUGCAGCUCCAGCGUCGCCCUCUGCCGCCUAAGCUCACAGUCCGUUCAAAUUCAGUCACCACGCCGUUCAUCACCACCACCAAAGCCCGUUCAUUUGGCGUCGUUCGUGCAGCUGCGAAUGUGGUCGCUGGGGCUAGAACUGUAAGAUCUGCAGCUCACCAGUUCAACUUAUUGCUCCGCCGCCGGUCACUCAAAAAAGAGUCGCAUGCAGGCCACCCCGUGCUCGGCCCCCUUAUCUGGCAUUUUUGAUCAUGCAAGUUCAACUAUAUAACCCGCCGCCGCCCAGGGACCCAACGCGCCACCGCUCCUCUGAUUCUGCUCCCCGGCUCUGCUUGUAAUUCUUCCGCCGACACCAAUGGAAUUGAGGCUUCCCCAAGGAACAAGAUUGGUAACUAGCGCAAAGGAGACUAUGUCGAGAGGUGGCACUGCUAGACUUGCUGAUGUGUAGUUAUGGCAUAAAAAAGAUAAAAAAAAUGGUAUCUUGUAUGAUUCCAUAAGGUGCAUAUAGCAAAUCAUCCCAUGUGGAUCAGUACAACUUAUGUAUGGCCUUUAGUUCACAAAUCUUAUAGUAAUCUUUGUAGUACUCUUCAUAACACUUCGUAAAGCAAGAGUGGCCCUUUUUUGUGAGCAGCAAUUCAAACGAGACAGUUGUAUCUGUUCUUAUGAUGGAUAGAAGAAAGUUCAAUAGCCAAAAGGUUA